rnacentral:rRNA from 1 species
AUACGUAGGGGGCGAGCGUUGUCCGGAAUUAUUGGGCGUAAAGGGUUCGUAGGCGGUUAAAUAAGUCAGGUGUGAAAGCCAUAGGCUCAAACUAUGUAAGCACUUGCGAAGUGGGCUACUUGAGUGCAGGAGGGGAAAGCGGAAUUCUUAGUGUAGCGGUGAAAUGCGUAGAUAUUAGGAGGAACACCAGUGGCGAAGGCGGCUUUCUGGACAGUAACUGACACUGAGGUACGAAAGUGUGGGGAGCAAACAGGAUUAGAUACCCUGGUAGUCCACACCGUAAACGAUGAGCACUAGGUGUCGGGCUCGCAAGAGUUCGGUGCCGCAGUUAACGCAUUAAGUGCUCCGCCUGGGGAGUACGUACGCAAGUAUGAAACUCAAAGGAAUUGACGGGG